CAGCCGCCGCGGUAAUACGAAGGGUGCAAGCGUUGCUCGGAAUUACUGGGCGUAAAGCGUGCGUAGGUGGUGGUUUAAGUCCGUUGUGAAAGCCCUGGGCUCAACCUGGGAAUUGCAGUGGAUACCGGAUCACUAGAGUGUGGUAGAGGAUAGUGGAAUUUCCGGUGUAGCAGUGAAAUGCGUAGAGAUCGGAAGGAACAUCUGUGGCGAAGGCGACUAUCUGGGCCAACACUGACACUGAGGCGCGAAAGCGUGGGGAGCAAACAGGAUUAGAUACCCGCGUAGUCCCUGUCUCUUAUAC
rnacentral:rRNA from 1 species